rnacentral:rRNA from 1 species
GAUGAACGCUAGCGGCAGGCUUAAUACAUGCAAGUCGAGGGGUAACAGGUCUGUAGCAAUACAGAUGCUGACGACCGGCAAACGGGUGCGGAACACGUACAGAACAUUCCUUCGAGUGGGAGAUAGCCUAGGGAAACUUGGAGUAAUAUUCCAUAGGAUCAUAGAGUGGCAUCACUUAGUGAUUAAAGAUUUAUCGCUUGAAGACGGCUGUGCGGCUGAUUAGGUAGUUGGUGUAGGUAACGGCUCACCAAGCCUUCGAUCAGUAACUGGUGUGAGAGCACGACCAGUCACACGGGCACUGAGACACGGGCCCGACUCCUACGGGAGGCAGCAGUAAGGAAUAUUGGGCAAUGGAGGCAACUCUGACCCAGCCAUGCCGCGUGGAGGAUGAAGGUCCUCUGGAUUGUAAACUUCUUUUAUUUGGGAAGAAAUGCCGAUUUUCUAAUUGGUUUGACGGUACCAGAUGAAUAAGCACCGGCUAACUCCGUGCCAGCCGCCGCGGUAACAC